rnacentral:misc_RNA from 1 species
GAUGAAGAACGUAGCGAAAUGCGAUAAGUAAUGUGAAUUGCAGAAUUCAGUGAAUCAUCGAAUCUUUGAACGCACCUUGCACCCUUUGGCAUUCUGAAGGGUAUGCUCGUUUGAGUGUCAUUGUACUCUCACACUCCCGAUCUUUGCAUUGGGAGCAGUGGACUUGGGUUUGCUGCUUCACCGUCGCUUACCUCAAAUAGGUUAGUGCAACUCUUGGUUGGACAUAGUACGGCGUGAUAAGUGUUCUUCGCCGGUGCCUCGCAAAGUGGGUGGCCGAUCGGGAUGUUGUGCUCCAAACCGUCUUCGGACAAUCUCUGACGACUUGACCUCAAAUCGAGUAAGACUACCCGCUGAACUUAAGCAUAUCAAUAAGCGGAGGA